GACGAACGCUGGCGGCGUGCUUAACACAUGCAAGUCGAACGGAAAGGCCCCUUUGGGGGUACUCGAGUGGCGAACGGGUGAGUAACACGUGAGUAACCUGCCCUUGACUUCGGGAUAACUUCAGGAAACUGGGGCUAAUACCGGAUAGGAAUCCUUGCUGCAUGGUGGGGGUUGGAAAGCUUCGGCGGUUUUGGAUGGACUCGCGGCUUAUCAGCUUGUUGGUGGGGUAGUGGCUUACCAAGGCUUUGACGGGUAGCCGGCCUGAGAGGGCGACCGGCCCCAUUGGGACUGAGAUACGGCCCAGACUCCUACGGGAGGCAGCGGUGGGGAAUAUUGCACAAUGGGCGGAAGCCUGAUGCAGCAACGCCGCGUGCGGGAUGACGGCCUUCGGGUUGUAAACCGCUUUCAGCAGGGGCGAAGCUUGUGGUGACGGUACCUGCAGAAGAAGCACCGGCUAACUACGUG
rnacentral:rRNA from 1 species